rnacentral:lncRNA from 1 species
AUAGAAUUGUUAAGGUUGGAAAAGAACUCUAAGUCCAUCACCAUCAUGCCCACUAAACUGUGCCCCUAAGUGCCACAUCUCUGUGUUUCUUGAGCACAUCUACACAUUUCUUGAGCACCCCUGCUGCUAAAGAGAGAAAACAAAUAACAUUUUGAUUAAUUUUAAGCUUCCUGACUGUUAAUUUCAUGGGGGCAAGAGUAGAACUCCAGGAGGCUUCAGUUUGUGUCAUAGUCUUCCCAUUCAUCACCUCCUCAACGAGUCCUUGCCCUUGGAACCAGUGAGUAGACAAGUCCUGGGCUGGAGAUGCAUCUCAGCUGUCAGGACUGAUCUGAACAAGGGCAGGACAAGGUGGAAAAGGGAGGACACAGGCAACCAGUCACCUGCUGGAUGGGGCAAUUGGGAAGAUGUGGAGAACCAAUGGGCAUCAUCUGCUGCUGGAGCAUUGCUGCUCAGAGUGCCUCAUAAAUCACUGCUGACUGCCGGGAUCGCUUUGGCCACUCUUCCCCAUCGUCCUGUCUGCAGAAAUGGGCUGCACGUUUCCACGUGGAUCGGGUCUGAAUUGGCUGUCUGAACCCAGAGAUUAAAGAAACAACAACCUCUCUCUUUCCUAUAACUCAUUUGUUUCACACAGGCUAAAAAUGGCAUUGCCUAAUACAGUGCAAUAAUCUUUCCCUUCCCUUCCCUUCCCUUCCCUUCCCUUCCCUUCCCUUCCCUUCCCUUCCCUUUCCCUUCCCUUCCCUUCCCUUCCCUUCCCCUUCCCUUCCCUUCCUUCCCUUCCCUUCCCUUCCCUUCCCUUCCCUUCCCAGAACCACAGAGCAUCCCAAGUUGGAAGAGACCCAUAAGGAUCAUUGCAUCCAAUACCUCUUCAAGCAGCAGCAGGGGUUGGGUUUUGAAGCACUCCUGCUCACUGAAGGAUGCAUGCAGGGUCAGCUGGGAGGAAGCUAAGAGAAAUCACAUGUUUUUUUGCACAUUUUUUUCCUGACAACUCAAAUAGUCCAUAAAACACAACGCCACUUCCCACUGCCCUCUACCUAGGAACAUCCUUUCUGUACUUGACGCUGACACUCUCAGAUUCCCCUUUUUAUUUCUUAAAGGCUUUAUAACAGACUGACUAAUUCAUGUGCACCUGGCUAGGCCUGAGAAUCCAUGAGCAUCCACAGGACUCUGAAGAUAACAGUCAUCCUGUCUAUAUCCAAGGCAGGUCACCACUAGACAGGUAAGAAAAUGGAAGAGUUCAUCCCUUGGCACCCAGAAUACUUCAUCUGCCUUCUUAUAUGCUCAUAAAUGUCUGUAGUAAACCAUGUUUUCUCUUCACCAAAAAUACAAAGCCAACAGAGAUGCAUAUUUCUCUGCUGAUGCUGGUCAUGCUGCAGGUCCCAGGAGGGUUGCUGGGUAGUGAGGGAGCUGCCCAUAUCUUUUUGCAUGCAGGGGAGGUGCUUGCAAGGAAAGAUCUCUAAUUCGGGGGAACAUAUCUGAGCUCCGUAGGCUUUUGGUGAAGUAUCUGAGAAAGGCAGCAGAUGUUGCUGAAAUUAUUUUUCAUCUGUUUUCCCCCAUUUUCUUACUAUAUUUUUUUAACAUAGUGCAUCAAAUUAAAACUCAAUAAACAGCUCACGGCUGCUUAUUGGGGAGCA